AAAUUCAGCCUGUUGCCAACCCAUCCGUUUUUGUCAUGAAAAACGGGACAUAUGUCACUUGUCUGGUGAAGGAGUUCUACCCCAAAGAUGUAACUAUAAGUCUGGAAUCAUCCAAGAUAAUAAGAGAAUAUGACCCUGCUAUCGUCAUCUCUCCCGGUGGGAGGUACAGUGCCGUCAAGCUUGGUCAGUAUGGAGAUCCAGAUUCAGUGACAUGUUCAGUUCAACAUAACAAACAAACCUGGCGCUCUACUGACUUCAAACCAAAGAAAAAUACUUCAGAAAAUCCAAAGCCAAAGGAACCUGAAAACAUCAAUCAAACUCAAACUCCAGAGACCUGCUAUGAGCCCCAAGUGCAAGCCGGGAAGGUGAACAUGAUGUCCCUUGCAGUGCUGGGGCUCCGAAUGCUGUUUGCCAAGAGUGUUGCCAUCAAUUUUCUCUUGACUGCCAAGUUAUUUUUCUUUUAAGGCUGACCGGCAUGAGAAGGCUACACGCCCUGAAAGAAAUCAAAAGCCUACAGAGGUGCUAUCUCCUAGGCUUUCAACCUCCUGGUGGUUUCAGUUGACCUGUCCCAGCCUUGCUUAAAUGGCUGUUUCCCAAACCAGUUUUCCUUUAAAGGCAACAAACCCAGCUUAUCCUUCAGCCUGAUGAAAGACAGAAGUCCUGGAGAGUGGGGGCUUAUGGUCCCAACUGUUUUACAUGCUGCUUUAUAAAAGGAUAUAGAGAUAUGAAGGUAUAUAGGACACAUUUUUUUUCCUACAACUGACACACUUUGAAAAUGGUGUUUUGUUCCUUUGACAUUCUUUGCCUCCAGAAGUAGAAAGCAGGAGCCAUCGGGUUCCUAGCUCCAUUCUCCAAGAGGAAAAUAGAUCCUGGGCUUCUACCGAAACAUAAAAGGCUCUGCUCAACCCAGCACUAGGUUUGCCCCAAACUAGCGUUCUCAUCCACAAAGGCACUUUCUGCUUUUCCUAGUAUUUGACAAACAAAACUACAUUUGACUUCCUAACACUCUCUGCCCAGGCAAUGGGGUUUGUCCAAUCUCAUCUAAAUACUCUCAGAGUUAUUAGCAGAGAUCAGAGUAAAAUGCAGAGGAAAUGGGUUUCUCUCUAUUAAUUGAUUUAGCGAACAUGAAUUACUCCAAGUUCUAGGCAUUGUACUGAGGGUGCAAAAAUACAUAAGACGUGGGUCUUGCUUUCAAGCAACUCAUUGUGCAAGUGUUCUGGGAGGGAGGGACAGGAAUGAGACCCCGAGAUUUCCCCUGUAAGAACAGUGUCUUCAUGACCCCCUGCCUGCCCAUCCAUGCCCAGGAAGUUUGAAGGCACUGGACCUUUGGUAUUGAUGGUUUUCUGCCAUUCUUCUUUGUCUCUAUUGCAUGUAUUAAAGUGCAUUGUGUGUGCCUUG